rnacentral:rRNA from 1 species
UACGGAGGGUGCGAGCGUUGUUCGGAAUCACUGGGCGUAAAGCGCGUGUAGGCGGCCCACUAAGUCUGAUGUGAAAGCCCGGGGCUCACCCCCGGAAGUGCAUUGGAAACUGGUGGACUCGAGUCCCGGAGAGGAGAGUGGAAUUCCUGGUGUAGCGGUGAAAUGCGUAGAUAUCAGGAGGAACACCGGUGGCGAAGGCGGUUCUCUGGGCAUUACCUGACGCUGAGGAGCGAAAGCGUGGGGAGCAAACAGG